UACGGGGGGGGCAAGCGUUGUUCGGAAUUACUGGGCGUAAAGGGCUCGUAGGUGGCCAACUAAGUCGGACGUGAAAUCCCUCGGCUUAACCGGGGAACUGCGUCCGAUACUGGUUGGCUUGAGUUUGGGAGAGGGAUGCGGAAUUCCAGGUGUAGCGGUGAAAUGCGCAGAUAUCAGGAGGAACACCAGUGGCGAAGGCGGCUCACUGGCCCGGUACUGACGCUGAGGUGCGAAAGCGUGGGGAGCAAACAGG
rnacentral:rRNA from 1 species